UAGCUCAGUUGGUACUGCAUGGCAUUUGCAAUGCCAGGGUUGUGGGUUUCAUUCCCAC
rnacentral:tRNA from 1 species